CUUGGUCAUUUAGAGGAAGUAAAAGUCGUAACAAGGUUUCCGUAGGUGAACCUGCGGAAGGAUCAUUACCGAAGUACAGGCCCUCUUGUAGGGCUACACUUCCACCCUUUGUUUACCAUACUAUGUUGCUUUGGCGAGACGUCUUCGGACCACCGGCCCUUGGGCUGGUGCGCGCUCGCCAGAGAAAACCCAAACCCAAACCAUUUUAAGUGUCGUCUGAAAAACAAGUUUAAUUAUUAAAACUUUCAACAACGGAUCUCUUGGCUCUGGCAUCGAUGAAGAACGCAGCGAAAUGCGAUAAGUAAUGUGAAUUGCAGAAUUCAGUGAAUCAUCGAAUCUUUGAACGCACAUUGCGCCCCUUGGUAUUCCAUGGGGCAUGCCUGUUCGAGCGUCAUUUGUACCUUCAAGCUCUGCUUGGUGUUGGGUGUUUGUCUCGCCUUUGCGUGUAGACUCGCCUCAAAACAAUUGGCAGCCGGCGUAUUGAUUUCGGAGCGCAGUACAUCUCGCGCUUUGCACUCAUAACGACGACGUCCAAAAGUACAUUUUUACACUCUUGACCUCGGAUCAGGUAGGGAUACCCGCUGAACUUAAGCAUAUCAAUAAGCGGAGGAAAAGAAACCAACAGGGAUUGCCUCAGUAACGGCGAGUGAAGCGGCAACAGCUCAAAUUUGAAAUCUGGUCCUUUCAGGGCCCGAGUUGUAAUUUGUAGAAGAUGCUUCGAGCGUGGCACCGGUCUAAGUUCCUUGGAACAGGACGUCAUAGAGGGUGAGAAUCCCGUAUGCGACUGGCCGCCUUUGUUCAUGUGAAGCUCUUUCGACGAGUCGAGUUGUUUGGGAAU
rnacentral:sRNA from 1 species